rnacentral:sRNA from 1 species
CCCUGAAUGUCCUCGUGACCCCAGAGCUGUUGGAGACAGGUGUUGAAUGCACGGCCUCCAACGACCUGGGCAAAAACACCAGCGUCCUCUUCCUGGAGCUGGUCAAUUUAACCACCCUCACACCAGACUCCAACACAACCACUGGCCUCAGCACUUCCACUGCCAGUCCUCAUACCAGAGCCAACAGCACCUCCACAGAGAGAAAGCUGCCAGAGCCGGAGAGCCAGGGCGUGGUCAUCGUGGCUGUGAUUGUGUGCAUCCUGGUCCUGGCGGUGCUGGGCGCUGUCCUCUAUUUCCUCUAUAAGAAGGGCAAGCUGCCGUGCGGGCGCUCAGGGAAGCAGGAGAUCACGCUGCCCCCGUCUCGUAAGAGUGAAUUUGUAGUUGAAGUUAAGUCAGAUAAGCUCCCAGAAGAGAUGGGCCUCCUGCAGGGCAGCAGCGGUGACAAGAGGGCUCCGGGAGACCAGGGAGCAGGCCCCAUCUUGCCUUCUUAACACUACUCACAGAUGGCAGGGCCAAGCAAGUGGCUGAGGGAGCUUGGAGGAAGACAAGAAAGACCCUGUCCCAUCACCUUUUCCUGACCAACGCCCGUGGCUCUGGGUGUGGCCAUUUCACCAGUGCAGUCAGGCGGGGGCCGCCCCCCUUCCCUGGCCUGCCUUCCUCCCCAGGGCUGCCGCACCAAGUUCAUCGGCUUCUGCUUCCACCUCUCCU